ACUACGGGUGGCAGCAGUGAGGAAUAUUGGACAAUGGGCGGGAGCCUGAACCAGCCAAGUCGCGUGAGUGAAGACGGUCCUAGGGAUGUUAAGCCUCUUUAGCCGGGGAGAAAUGCCGGGCACGUGUGCCCGGAGGGAGAGUACCCUCAGAAUAAGCAUCGGCUAACUCCGUGCCGGAACCCGCGGUAAUCCGGGGGAUGCGAUCGUUAUGCGGUUUAAUUGGGUUUACAGGUUUCGUAGGCGGAUUUUUAAGUCAGCGGUAAGAUGGCGGGGAUAAACCCUGGACGGCCGUGGAGACUGGGGAUCUUGAGUGGGCGAGAGGUAUGCGGAAUGCGUGGUGUAGCGGUGAAAUGCAUAGAUAUUACGAAGAACUCCGAUUGCGAAGGCAGCAUACCGGCGCCCGACUGACGCUGAGGCACGAAAGCGUGGGGAUCGAACAGGAUUAGAUACCCUAGUAGUC
rnacentral:rRNA from 1 species